AUCCUCUCCCAGAGGGAGAGGAGGGACCCGCCGCGGAGCGGUGGGAGGUGAGGGGUUUCGUCGGCCGACGCCUUACCCCCUCUCCCUCCCGCGCUUUCAGCGC
rnacentral:sRNA from 1 species